UACGUAGGGUGCGAGCGUUAAUCGGAAUUACUGGGCGUAAAGUGUGCGCAGGUAGCCGCGCAAGUCGAGUGUGAAAUCCCCGAGCUUAACUUGGGAAUUGCGCUCGAAACUACGUGGCUCGAGUGUGGCAGAGGAAGGUGGAAUUCCACGUGUAGCGGUGAAAUGCGUAGAGAUGUGGAGGAACACCGAUGGCGAAGGCAGCCUUCUGGGCCAACACUGACGCUCAUGCACGAAAGCGUGGGGAGCAAACAGG
rnacentral:rRNA from 1 species